UCUUCUCUAUUUCUCUCUUUCUUCUCUAUUCUUCUUCAUCACAGGCGAUUUCUUUUCAAACUCUAGGGUUUCUCUUACAAAGCUUCAAACACGAAUUUCUCUAACAUCAAUUGUUCAUCAUCCAUUUAAGAGCAUUUGUCUAAAGCUUCUGGGCAUCCCCAAUUCACUUCCAGGACCAAAAUUCUGAGUAUUGGUUUGGUUCCGGAAUUGGUCUUGCGUCUUGGUUGGUGCAGUUUUAGUAUUGAAGUCUGCAUUUAUGGCAUUGUUAUGUGGAAACUGUACACUCGGUUCAGAUUAACAGAUUUCUCCAUUGUUAGAUAUGAGCGCUAUAUAUUUGCACUUGAAGAAGCUUCUAGAGAUGUACUGUCUACACUCAAGGAUAAAGCGCUAAAGACUAUUUAUGCAUUGCUGAAGAGCAAGUCAGAACAAGAACGCAGUUUGCUCUCUGCACUUAUGAAUUAGCUAGGGGAUCCUGAAAAUAAGGCUGCGUCUAAUGCAGAUUAUUUAUUGUCAAAGCUUUUGUCAGAUCAUCCAAAUAUGAAGGUUAAUUUUUUAAGUCAGGUUCGCCUAAGUCAUUAUGGUGACGGGGCAAAAGUGGCAAAACGGUUAGUGGAGGUGUAUUUUGCUUUAUUUAAGUUGCUUAUCUCUUAGGCUGGUGGACCUAAUAAGCAGCAAAAGUACAAAGAAGACUAUAAAAAACCUUUUAGUUCUUCCAAAGACAAAGAUGUUAAAAUUGAUGCAGAUUCUCAUGUUGAAAUGGAUUCACGUUUGUUAUCAGCUCUUUUAACGGAAAGAAGAGAAGAGAGUUACCAAUGUGAUCUACUAGAAACUUUAUUGGAAUUUGUUGAAGCAGUUGAUCUGAGUUGACUUCCGAGUCUAUAAAGACUUAUUGCAUGAUUAAAGUUGCUGACUUAGAUGCUUACAAGAUUAUCGAUCACAAUCCCACCGUUAGGAUCGGUUUUGCGACUUUCGUCCAAAGGUUUGUUUUUCCACAUCUGGAUCCAAAAGGUUUGAAAUCUUGCCAUUUUCAUCCGGCUCAUUAACUCCAUCCAUUUUUCUCCAUUAAUUCAAGCGUAUUUCCAUCUUAUUUGUUAACUUAAAAGGGCAAUUCGGUCCUUUUCAGGGGUAUUUGGUCUUUUACAUAAAGUGAAAAAGACCUGGUUGCCCUUUAAUUUAGCGAAAAAAGACGGAAAUACCCCCCACUUAAUGGAAAAAAAUGGAUGGAGUUAACGAGCCUGAUGAAAAUUGCAAGAUUUCAAACCUUUUGGAUCAGAUGCGGAAAAACAAACCUUUUGACGAAAGUUGCAAAACUGGCCAAACCUCAGGGUCGAAAAUUCCAUUUUAGUCUAUUUAUAUAUAUUAAACUCACCAUGGGGGUAAAGGAUUAGUAGCUUUUCUUGCAUGAGUUAUGAGUAAAUCUUUGAGUUGACCAAAGUAAAUUUCAAGCAUGCUGAAGCUAAAAAGAUAUGUAUGGUUGCUAUCUGUUAAGGUUGUUAUUUUAUUGUUAAUUUUUUUGGUUUUAUUGAAGUAAAAAUGAAAGCUCAGAAGGAGGCUCCUCCUGACAUGUAAUGGAGGGACAAGUUUCUCCUUCAAAGUAAAAUUGCAAAGGUGGGAGCAACUCCAAAAGACAUCACCCCCGAGAUGGUAAAGACCAAUUUCCAUUUUAUUGUUUCGUGUUUUCUUUUUUGACUGGUCAAUUGUCUUAUUGGUUCGUCAAAAUUAUUUUAUUUAGUCCAUUGGCGAAGCAUGAAAUCAUGUUAUCACGUUAUCAGUUAUUUACUGUUAACAGUAAUAUAUCACUUUGUUUGUA